rnacentral:rRNA from 1 species
AGCAGCCGCGGUAAUUCCAGCUCCAAUAGCGUAUAUUAAAGUUGUUGCAGUUAAAAAGCUCGUAGUUGAAUUUCGGGAUCAAUAUGUUGGUCGUGCCUCGGUACGUACUAGCAUAUUGGUUUCUCCUUUCUGAAGAACCAUGAUGUCAUUUAUUUGGUGUCGUGGGGAAUCAGGACUGUUACUUUGAAAAAAUUAGAGUGUUUAAAGCAGGCUCACGCUUGAAUACAUUAGCAUGGAAUAAUGAAAUAGGACGUUUGAUUCUACUUUGUUGGUUUCUAGGAUCGACGUAAUGAUUAAUAGGGAUAGUUGGGGGCAUUAGUAUUCAAUUGUCAGAGGUGAAAUUCUUGGAUUUAUUGAAGACUAACUACUGCGAAAGCAUUUGCCAAGGAUGUUUUCAUUAAUCAAGAACGAAAGUUAGGGGAUCGAAGACGAUCAGAUACCGUCGUAGUCUUAACCAUAAACUAUGCCGACUAGGGAUCGGAUGAUGUUAAUUUUUAAUGACUCAUUCGGCGCCUUAAC